rnacentral:rRNA from 1 species
UUCAGUUGAAUGAAGACCGUACCGUAAACCGACACAGGUGGGUAGGAUGAGAAUUCUAAGGCGCUUGAGAGAACUCAGGAGAAGGAACUCGGCAAAAUAGCACCGUAACUUCGGGAAAAGGUGUGCCCUUUGUAUGUGUAGCGCCUCGCGCGUGAAGCAGAAUAGGGUUGCAAUGAAAUGGUGGCUGCGACUGUUUAAUAAAAACAUAGCACUCUGCAAACACGAAAGUGGACGUAUAGAGUGUGACGCCUGCCCGGUGCCGGAAGGUUAAAUGAUGGGGUGCAAGCUCUUGAUUGAAGCCCCGGUAAACGGCGGCCGUAACGAUAACGGUCCUAAGGUAGCGAAAUUCCUUGUCGGGUAAUUUCCGACCUGCACGAAUGGCGUAACGAUGGCCACACUGUCUCCUCCUGGGACUCAGCGAAGUUGAAAUGUUUGUGAAGAUGCAAUCUCCCCGCGGCUAGACGGAAAGACCCCGUGCACCUUUACUGUAGCUUUACAUUGGACUUUGAUAACAUUUGUGUAGGAUAGGUGGGAGGCUUUGAAGUGGAUUCGCCAGAAUUCAUGGAGCCAACGUUGAAAUACCACCCUGAUGUUGUUGAGGUUCUAACCUAGAUCCAUUAUCUGGAUUGGGGACCGUGUAUGGUAGGCAGUUUGACUGGGGCGGUCUCCUCCCAAAUUGUAACGGAGGAGUACGAAGGUACGCUAGGUACGGUCGGAAAUCGUGCUGAUAGUGCAAUGGCAAAAGCGUGCUUAACUGCGAGACUGACAAGUCGAGCAGAUGCGAAAGCAGGUCAUAGUGAUCCGGUGGUUCUGUAUGGAAGGGCCAUCGCUCAACGGAUAAAAGGUACGCCGGGGAUAACAGGCUGAUUCCUCCCAAGAGUUCAUAUCGACGGGGGAGUUUGGCACCUCGAUGUCGGCACAUCACAUCCUGGGGCUGUAGCCGGUCCCAAGGGUAUGGCUGUUCGCCAUUUAAAGUGGUACGUGAGCUGGGUUUAAAACGUCGUGAGACAGUUUGGUCCCUAUCUGCCGUGGGCGUUGGAAGUUUGAGUGGACCUGCUCCUAGUACGAGAGGACCGGAGUGGACGCACCUCUGGUGUACCGGUUAUGACGCCAGUCGUAUCGCCGGGUAGCUAUGUGCGGAAGAGAUAACCGCUGAAAGCAUCUAAGCGGGAAACUCUCCUCAAGAUGAGACUUCCCGAGGGUUUAACCCUCCUAAAGGUUCGUCGAAGACUACGACGUUGAUAGGUCGGGUGUGGGAGCAUAGUGAUAUGUUAAGCUAACCGAUACUAAUUGACCGUGAGGCUUGAUCCU